rnacentral:rRNA from 1 species
AUACGGAGGGUGCAAGCGUUAAUCGGAAUUACUGGGCGUAAAGCGCACGCAGGCGGUCGUUUAAGUCCGUUGUGAAAGCCCUGGGCUCAACCUGGGAACUGCAGUGGAUACUGGGCGACUAGAGUGUGGUAGAGGGUAGCGGAAUUCCUGGUGUAGCAGUGAAAUGCGUAGAGAUCAGGAGGAACAUCCAUGGCGAAGGCAGCUACCUGGACCAACACUGACACUGAGGCACGAAAGCGUGGGGAGCAAACAGGAUUAGAUACCCUGGUAGUCCACGCCCUAAACGAUGCGAACUGGAUGUUGGGUGCAAUUUGGCACGCAGUAUCGAAGCUAACGCGUUAAGUUCGCCGCCUGGGGAGUACGGUCGCAAGACUGAA